rnacentral:rRNA from 1 species
AGUGGCGGACGGGUGAGUAACGCGUGGGUAACCUACCCUGUACAGGGGGAUAACAGUCAGAAAUGACUGCUAAUACCGCAUAAGACCACAGCACCGCAUGGUGCAGGGGUAAAAACUCCGGUGGUACAGGAUGGACCCGCGUCUGAUUAGCUGGUUGGUGAGGUAACGGCCCACCAAGCCUUCGAUGGAUAGGGGUUCUGAGAGGAAGGUCCCCCACAUUGGAACUGAGACACGGUCCAAACUCCUACGGGAGGCAGCAGUGAGGAAUAUUGGUCAAUGGACGAGAGUCUGAACCAGCCAAGUAGCGUGAAGGAUGACUGCCCUAUGGGUUGUAAACUUCUUUUAUACGGGAAUAAAGUGAGGCACGUGUGCCUUUUUGUAUGUACCGUAUGAAUAAGGAUCGGCUAACUCCGUGCCAGCAGCCGCGGUAAUACGGAGGAUCCGAGCGUUAUCCGGAUUUAUUGGGUUUAAAGGGAGCGUAGGCGGACGCUUAAGUCAGUUGUGAAAGUUUGCGGCUCAACCGUAAAAUUGCAGUUGAUACUGGGUGUCUUGAGUACAGUAGAGGCAGGCGGAAUUCGUGGUGUAGCGGUGAAAUGCUUAGAUAUCACGAAGAACUCCGAUUGCGAAGGCAGCUUGCUGGACUGUAACUGACGCUGAUGCUCGAAAGUGUGGGUAUCAAACAGGAUUAGAUACCCUGGUAGUCCACACAGUAAACGAUGAAUACUCGCUGUUUGCGAUAUACAGUAAGCGGCCAAGCGAAAGCGUUAAGUAUUCCACCUGGGGAGUACGCCGGCAACGGUGAAACUCAAAGGAAUUGACGGGGGCCCGCACAAGCGGAGGAACAUGUGGUUUAAUUCGAUGAUACGCGAGGAACCUUACCCGGGCUUGAAUUGCAACUGAAUGAUGUGGAGACAUGUCAGCCGCAAGGCAGUUGUGAAGGUGCUGCAUGGUUGUCGUCAGCUCGUGCCGUGAGGUGUCGGCUUAAGUGCCAUAACGAGCGCAACCCUUAUCGAUAGUUACCAUCAGGUUAUGCUGGGGACUCUGUCGAGACUGCCGUCGUAAGAUGUGAGGAAGGUGGGGAUGACGUCAAAUCAGCACGGCCCUUACGUCCGGGGCUACACACGUGUUACAAUGGGGGGUACAGAAGGCAGCUACACGGCGACGUGAUGCUAAUCCCGAAAGCCUCUCUCAGUUCGGAUUGGAGUCCGCAACCCGACUCCAUGAAGCUGGAUUCGCUAGUAAUCGUGCAUCAGCCACGGCGCGGUGAAUACGUUCCCGGGCCCU